UACGUAGGGUGCGAGCGUUAAUCGGAAUUACUGGGCGUAAAGCGUGCGCAGGCGGUUUUGUAAGCCAGAUGUGAAAUCCCCGGGCUCAACCUGGGAAUGGCAUUUGGGACUGCAAGGCUGGAGUGCGGCAGAGGAGACUGGAAUUCCUGGUGUAGCAGUGAAAUGCGUAGAUAUCAGGAGGAAUACCGAUGGCGAAGGCAGGUCUCUGGGCUGACACUGACGCUCAUGCGCGAAAGCGUGGGGAGCAAACAGG
rnacentral:rRNA from 1 species